UGUCCAGGGGGCCGCCUUCGCCACCGGUAUUCCUCCAGAUCUCUACGCAUUUCACCGCUACACCUGGAAUUCUACCCCCCUCUACAAGACUCUAGCCUGCCAGUUUCGAAUGCAGUUCCCAGGUUGAGCCCGGGGAUUUCACAUCCGACUUGACAGACCGCCUGCGUGCGCUUUACGCCCAGUAAUUCCGAUUAACGCUUGCACCCUCCGUAUUACCGCGGCUGCUGGCACGGAGUUAGCCGGUGCUUCUUCUGCGGGUAACGUCAAUCGAUGAGGUUAUUAACCUCACCGCCUUCCUCCCCGCUGAAAGUGCUUUACAACCCGAAGGCCUUCUUCACACACGCGGCAUGGCUGCAUCAGGCUUGCGCCCAUUGUGCAAUAUUCCCCACUGCUGCCUCCCGUAGGAGUCUGGACCGUGUCUCAGUUCCAGUGUGGCUGGUCAUCCUCUCAGACCAGCUAGGGAUCGUCGCCUAGGUGAGCCGUUACCCCACCUACUAGCUAAUCCCAUCUGGGCACAUCUGAUGGCAUGAGGCCCGAAGGUCCCCCACUUUGGUCUUGCGACGUUAUGCGGUAUUAGCUACCGUUUCCAGUAGUUAUCCCCCUCCAUCAGGCAGUUUCCCAGACAUUACUCACCCGUCCGCCGCUCGUCACCCGAGAGCAAGCUCUCUGUGCUACCGCUCGACUUGCAUGUGUUAGGCCUGCCGCCAGCGUCAUCUG
rnacentral:rRNA from 1 species